AGGAGCUUGAGCUUGAUUUGUUCUGCGAACGAGAAAGAAUGAGAAAGACAGGGGCUGUGUUCUACUAGUUCAGUGUUUAAAAGAGAGGAGAAGAAGGAGAAGGUAGCUGCGGUGGUUGGGGUGGUGG